CUUCAGAAAUCUUUCUUUCCGGGCGCGCGAUCUCCUAUUGCAUAACCAUGUGCUUCCUUUCUUCUCUUCCUCUGCUUACUCUGCUCACUCCGUCGUACCCAGAUUUUUCUCUUCCAGAAGCAACUUGUCAAAUGAAGUUGCGUCCCCCCAAGCCCACAACAGAGAUGAUCACUCUCAAGCUGAGGAUGUUAUCAGCAACGAAGAGUUGAAGAAGCGCAUAUCGAAGCUCGGGGAGGGUGAUGACGGAGCUAUACCAGAGAUCUUUGAGGGGAUAUUGUCGAGAAUAUUAGCAGGGAAGCCUGAAGAAGCUCACGAUGAUUUGAGAAAAGAACUUUUGGGGGAGAGAACAGAGUCAGAUGGAGAGGAAACAGAGUCAGCUGAUGACAGUGAAGAUUUAGAGUUUGAUCUUGAUGAGGAGGACAUGAGUGAGUCCGAUAAAGAAUAGGCUCACAGCAGUUUGUAACCACGUGAACUAGAUCAUGAAUUUAAUAGAGAGGGCAUAUGAAUGUAUUUGGUGCUAAGUUCACAGGCCUUACCAUUUUAUUAUACACUCUUUAAGCACUUAUGUGAUCAUUGGUCAAUAGCUAUGAAGAAAUUACAUAUUCGAACAUGAUUUUUAUGCAUCAAUUGUUAGUUAAUACUAAGAAUUUUCUUCCUUCAA